CCUACGGGUGGCAGCAGUAGGGAAUAUUGCGCAAUGGGGGAAACCCUGACGCAGCAACGCCGCGUGGAGGAUGAAGGUUUUAGGAUCGUAAACUCCUGUUGUGAGAGAAGAUAAUGACGGUAUCUCACGAAUAAGCACCUGCUAACUCCGUGCCAGCAGCCGCGGUAAUACGGAGGGUGCAAGCGUUACUCGGAAUCACUGGGCGUAAAGAGUGCGCAGGCGGGCUGGUAAGUCAGAUGUGAAAUCCUGUAGCUUAACUAGAGAACUGCAUUUGAAACUGUGAGUCUAGAGUGUGGGAGAGGAAGGUGGAAUUCUUGGUGUAGGGGUAAAAUCCGUAGAUAUCUAGAGGAAUACUCGUGGCGAAGGCGACUCACUGGAACAUUACUGACGCUGAGGCACGAAAGCGUGGGGAGCAAACAGGAUUAGAUACCCGAGUAGUC
rnacentral:rRNA from 1 species